GUGCCAGCCGCCGCGGUAAUACCGGCAGCCCAAGUGAUGGUCGAUCUUAUUGGGCCUAAAGCGUCCGUAGCUGGCUGCGCAAGUCCGUCGGGAAAUCCACUCGCCCAACGAGUGGGCGUCCGACGGAAACUGCACAGCUUGGGACCGGAAGGCUCGAAGGGUACGUUCGGGGUAGGAGUGAAAUCCUGUAAUCCUGGACGGACCGCCGGUGGCGAAAGCACUUCGAGAAAACGGAUCCGACAGUGAGGGACGAAAGCCAGGGUCUCCAACCGGAUUAGAAACCCGAGUAGUCC
rnacentral:rRNA from 1 species